AUGUCUUCCCUGGCCCUGGAGCACCAGCUUGAAUCAAGGCUGGCUCAGUUGUCUCAGGCUGGCCCACUGGCUGAUUCUCAGAGCUCUGGAUGCCCACUGUGGCAGUAGAUGGUGCAGGCCAGUGUGGCUCCGCCUGCCAGCCUUAGAGUAGUGACAGCCCGGGGACAGACUGCAUGGCAGUGGUGAGGCAGAAACCUGGUCUCCUUCCCCAGGCUCAGGAAUAGCAAGACACCAACUGAUAACAGUAUUAUUUUUAGUCUUGUUGCUCAUGUUUCAUUGUUGUUUUUAUUUUUGUGUACUUAUUGUUCUGACCAUGCACAAUCUAAAGAAGAGUUUCAUCUCUACAGACAUGCUGGGCCUGGGAGCUCACCCAAGUCAGAAGAAACAAGAGGGCAUUAUGAAAGAGCCAGACCUGAAGAGUAGCGCCUCCCCCAGGUGACAGAGCUGGAGCUGAGGCUGGUGGCAGGAUUCUGACUUUGAAGAGGAUGAGACACAUUGGUUUGAUAAGGCUGAAUGGCCUCUCAGCCUGAGUUGAAAGGAGGUGAAUUUCAACCCAUUUCCCACAUGCUUCCACUUUUGUUGACUUACCAGCCAAAGAGGGGAUGUAUGAGUGUCUGUGGACACCUGGUGGCAGUUUAGAGGAAUUAAAACCAGGUCAUCAGAGAGUGGAGCUCUGUGUACAUUGCGCAGAGUAUGGAAAAGACUGCCAGACAGGGAUAGAGAAGAGUUGGAGGAAAAUAAAAAGUAUGAUGCAACAUAUGAAUCUGUGCUCUUCCUUUGCCCCAGAGUGAGUGUGAAGAUUUUCUUCUGAAAAGAAAGGCAUCAGUUUGUUUUCUGAAUAAGACCUUGAUCAGGGUAAGCAGUUCUUUGUGUAGCACAUGGCACUCACCCCAGAAUUAAAGGAGUCCCUUUAAAUGCAUGUUUCCAGUGUCAGCAAAUAGUUUUCUCUCUCUAAUGUGGGCAUCCUAGAGCUAGGUGACAUGUGCCUUUGUUUGUAUCACUAAGGUGAUUGCAAGACUUGUAGAGAGGCCCUUUCAUUCUGUGGAGGUUAAACAUGGUUGGCAUGUCUUGGCAUGAGUGAGUGGGCUGAAUUUCUCCUACCCCAAAAGUGGCAUUUGCAAGUUCCAUCCAAUUAUUCCUCUUCCUUUCCUGGAUACCUGCUGGUCUUCCUCUUUACCAUUCUGAGUUGUCAUUCCUCUAUUCUGUCUUGAAAAGAGUUAAGUCUUAGGAUAUGAUUUUACCUUGUUCAUUUGGGUUCAUCUGGACU
rnacentral:lncRNA from 1 species